rnacentral:rRNA from 1 species
CCUACGGGAGGCAGCAGUGAGGAAUAUUGGUCAAUGGGCGCGAGCCUGAACCAGCCAAGUCGCGUGAGGGAAGACGGUCCUAUGGAUUGUAAACCUCUUUUGUCGGGGAGCAAAAGACGCCACGCGUGGCGUUCCGAGAGUACCCGAAGAAAAAGCAUCGGCUAACUCCGGGCCAGCAGCCGCGGUAAUACGGAGGAUGCGAGCGUUAUCCGGAUUUAUUGGGUUUAAAGGGUGCGCAGGCGGAAGAGCAAGUCAGCGGUAAAAUUGAGAGGCUCAACCUCUUCGAGCCGUUGAAACUGGUGUUCUUGAGUGAGUGAGAAGUAUGCGGAAUGCGUGGUGUAGCGGUGAAAUGCAUAGAUAUCACGCAGAACUCCGAUUGCGAAGGCAGCAUACCGGCGCUCAACUGACGCUCAUGCACGAAAGUGUGGGUAUCGAACAGGAUUAGAUACCCGAGUAGUC